UAAAUACUCCUGACUGACCGAUAGUGAACCAGUACCGUGAGGGAAAGGCGAAAAGAACCCCGGCGAGGGGAGUGAAAAAGAACCUGAAACCGUGUACGUACAAGCAGUGGGAGCACGCUUAGGCGUGUGACUGCGUACCUUUUGUAUAAUGGGUCAGCGACUUAUAUUCUGUAGCAAGGUUAACCGAAUAGGGGAGCCGAAGGGAAACCGAGUCUUAACUGGGCGUUAAGUUGCAGGGUAUAGACCCGAAACCCGGUGAUCUAGCCAUGGGCAGGUUGAAGGUUGGGUAACACUAACUGGAGGACCGAACCGACUAAUGUUGAAAAAUUAGCGGAUGACUUGUGGCUGGGGGUGAAAGGCCAAUCAAACCGGGAGAUAGCUGGUUCUCCCCGAAAGCUAUUUAGGUAGCGCCUCGUGAAUUCAUCUCCGGGGGUAGAGCACUGUUUCGGCAAGGGGGUCAUCCCGACUUACCAACCCGAUGCAAACUGCGAAUACCGGAGAAUGUUAUCACGGGAGACACACGGCGGGUGCUAACGUCCGUCGUGAAGAGGGAAACAACCCAGACCGCCAGCUAAGGUCCCAAAGUCAUGGUUAAGUGGGAAACGAUGUGGGAAGGCCCAGACAGCCAGGAUGUUGGCUUAGAAGCAGCCAUCAUUUAAAGAAAGCGUAAUAGCUCACUGGUCGAGUCGGCCUGCGCGGAAGAUGUAACGGGGCUAAACCAUGCACCGAAGCUGCGGCAGCGACGCUGAUGCGUUGUUGGGUAGGGGAGCGUUCUGUAAGCCUGCGAAGGUGUGCUGU
rnacentral:rRNA from 1 species